UUUGUAAAAUUCUGCUGGUCAUCCAAUAUCAAACGUAUAAUUACAGAUGCAAAAUUGCUAUGAAUGUAAUAAUUCAAUAAAGAAAAAGAAAAAGCGAAACGCACGUUUGUAUUAUUUCGUAAAAAAUAUCUGCAAUCGUCAUUCGAUAUUCAUAUUCCUACUGGCUCUGUCAUAACUUGUAUUUAUUAUUAAGUGGAAUGAAGUUUUCAUAAUUUUCUCGUUCACGUCGUCCACGACGUAAGAGACGAAUUCGAUCAUCUAAUAGAAAGUACAGAUGUCCCGGGUAAUUGGCUGCACUUAAAACGGCCCUGGAGGAGAGCGGUACGGAAAGAGAAAGAAAGAGAAAGAGAGAAAGAGAAAGAGAGAGAGAGAGAGAAAAAGAGAGGGGGAGAUAAUAAGAAAGAUGGCGGGUUUGCGUUGUGUCGUCGUCGUCGUCGCCCCGUAGUCGUCGACGACACCAACGACGAUGACUGUGGCAAAAGGGUGCAGGAGGAGUAGCGGACACUACGCGACGAGGGGGCUUUGUAAGAGAAGGAAAAGGACAGACGAAGAGAGUUCUCAAAGCGUUGCGGUGCGAGGCAAAGGGAUGUAAAGAUAGAAAGAGGGAAUAAGAGAAAGAAAGAAAGAAAGAGAAGAGAAGAGAGAAACAGAGAGAGAGAGAGAGAGAGAGAUGAUCGUUUGAAAGAGAAGGGGAACACGGCGCUCUCGGCUCGGGGGUUCGGGUUAGCUCGUUCGACCCGUUAUCCCUCCUCUCUCCCGGUGGCUCGAGAUUUCCCCUACCUGUCCUUGCUUCGAUUCUACGCGAAUAUCAUUCUCAUUCUCUCUCUCUCUCUCACUCUACACGUUUCCCCUAUUCCAAGGGGGAGAGAGAGCUUUUCCGCCGGCAACGGCGCGGAAACGUUCUAUUCCUCCCCCCCACCUCACUACCACCACCAAUUCGCGAUUGGUGAAAAGAGCGCUUGCGCUUGCACACACACGGCGGCAACGUAAACUCAGCAGCGCCUUAGUGCCGCGCCGCGGCACAAACACGAGACUCAAAUGUCCUACUCUUGUGAUUCCCCUACCCUCGACCGAACACAAUCCUACUCCCCGUCUCGUUUUUACCCCUCCGCGUAUGGGGUGGGGGGAGAGAACGCAAAGACAUGUUUUCCGUUUCCCCACCAGACAGCGUAGCCCGACUCGAGGACGGCGGCUCUGUUUACCCCCACCACCAAGGAUUUUGAUAGAACAGUGGAACGAUAGCAGGAACGGGAGCGGGCGCCGCUAGCCAGCGAGCUGCGCUACGCUCCCGCCACGGUGACGUCACUUGGUGUAGUGUAGAGCAGUGAGUAGGAGCGAGCUGUUCACUCCCGUCCGCAAUAAGCUGCGCCCUUCGAAAAACGUGUGUUGUUUUAUCAUCCACGAGUAAAGAAAGAAAUAAGUAAAUAAAAGAAA
rnacentral:lncRNA from 1 species